rnacentral:misc_RNA from 1 species
UACGUAGGUGGCAAGCGUUGUCCGGAAUUAUUGGGCGUAAAGCGCGCGCAGGCGGUUCUUUAAGUCUGAUGUGAAAUCUUGCGGCUCAACCGCAAGCGGCCAUUGGAAACUGGAGAGCUUGAGUGCAGAAGAGGAGAGCGGAAUUCCACGUGUAGCGGUGAAAUGCGUAGAGAUGUGGAGGAACACCAGUGGCGAAGGCGGCUCUCUGGUCUGUAACUGACGCUGAGGCGCGAAAGCGUGGGGAGCAAACAGG